AGAGUUUGAUCCUGGCUCAGAACGAACGCUGGCGGCAGGGCUUAACACAUGCAAGUCGAACGCUGGGCAGCAAUGCCCGGAGUGGCGGACGGGUGAGUAACGCGUGGAAAUCUACCUGGUAGUGGGGGAUAGCUUCUGGAAACGGAGGUAAAACCGCAUAAGCCCUGAGGGGGAAAUAUUUAUAGCUAUCAGAUGAGUCUGCGUCCGAUUAGGUAGUUGGUGAGGUAAGGGCCCACCAAGCCGAUGAUCGGUAGCUGGUCUGAGAGGAUGAUCAGCCACAUUGGGACUGAGACACGGCCCAAACUCCUACGGGAGGCAGCAGUGGGGAAUAUUGGACAAUGGGGGAACCCUGAUCCAGCCAUGCCGCGUGAAUGAGAAGGCCUUAGGGUUGUAAAGUUCUUUUAUAAGGGAAGAUGAUGACGGUACCUUAUGAAUAAGCACCGGCAAACUUCGUGCC
rnacentral:rRNA from 1 species